UACAGAGGGGGCAAGCGUUGUUCGGAAUUACUGGGCGUAAAGGGCUCGUAGGUGGCCAACUAAGUCGGACGUGAAAUCCCUCGGCUUAACCGGGGAACUGCGUCCGAUACUGGAUGGCUUGAGUUUGGGAGAGGGACGCGGAAUUCCAGGUGUAGCGGUGAAAUGCGUAGAUAUCUGGAGGAACACCGGUGGCGAAGGCGGCGUCCUGGACCAACACUGACACUGAGGAGCGAAAGCCAGGGGAGCAAACGGG
rnacentral:rRNA from 1 species